AUUGAACGCUGGCGGCAUGCCUUACACAUGCAAGUCGAACGGUAACAGGUUAAGCUGACGAGUGGCGAACAGGUGAGUAAUAUAUCGGAACGUGCCCAGUCGUGGGGGAUAACUGCUCGAAAGAGCAGCUAAUACCGCAUACGACCUGAGGGUGAAAGCGGGGGAUCGCAAGACCUCGCGCGAUUGGAGCGGCCGAUAUCAGAUUAGGUAGUUGGUGGGGUAAAGGCCUACCAAGCCUACGAUCUGUAGCUGGUCUGAGAGGACGACCAGCCACACUGGGACUGAGACACGGCCCAGACGCCUACGGGAGGCAGCAGUGGGGAAUUUUGGACAAUGGACGCAAGUCUGAUCCAGCCAUGCCGCGUGCGGGAAGAAGGCCUUCGGGUUGUAAACCGCUUUUGUCAGGGAAGAAAAGGUUCUGGUUAAUACCUGGGACUCAUGACGGUACCUGAAGAAUAAGCACCGGCUAACUACGUGCCAGCCGCCGCGGUAAAAC
rnacentral:rRNA from 1 species